CAGGUCUUGACGUAGAUACAGAUACGAGACACACCCAGAUGAUGUCACAAGCAGCUAUAUGUAAACAGAGCAGAGCUCAGGUGACAUCACAGAACAGGCAGAGGCCGUUCAGGGGGUAUUCUGGUUGCCUUACCCAGCUCUGAAGUCUGUCAGCCUCUUCAGAUGUCACUUGCCCUGUGGUAAGGAAGUGUAGUUGGCAGCUGGUGCAGUGGCAAGAAGAGAAAGGAAGUUCCCCAAGACAGAAACAUCUCGGCAGGUUUGGAAUAGUUCACCAGUGAAGUCAUCUCAACCAGCACAGGGCCUUGACUCCUAACAACAAUCACACGAACUUGGAAGAGGAUCCUUCCCCAGCUGAAACUUCACUUGAGACCUUCUCAUUGGCCAUCAUCGACAUCUGGAUUCAUGAUACAGAGAAACUUGAGUAAUGAUGACAAUAGCAGUCCAGCCUGCAUGGAUGCUGACAUGGAUGCUGUCUCCCAUUCUUACCACUGGAUGUCAAGAACUGCUAGAUGCGAUCCAGCCAGUCUGUACUCGACUCUCAGUUCCAUCUUCUCAACUCACAGUGUCUUCCAAAGUCCAUGCCACACCACAGCCUGGAAGAUCUCCCAAGGCUUUGAAUAACUCACCAGUGAAGUCAUCUUGACCUGGACAGAAAUUGAAUCCUCCCAAGAAUCCCAGGAGCUUGGAAGGGGAUCCUUCCCCAGAUGAGCCUUCCCUUGAAAUCUCUGCCAGGCAUCUGACCCAGAGAAACU
rnacentral:lncRNA from 10 species